GACGAACGCUGGCGGCGUGCUUAACACAUGCAAGUCGAGCGAUGAAGCACCUUCGGGUGUGGAUUAGCGGCGAACGGGUGAGGAACACGUGAGGAAUCUGCCUUCCACUCUGGGAUAACUCCGGGAAACCGGGGCUAAUACCGGAUACUUUCAACUGGCGGCAUCGCCGGUUGAAGAAAGUUUUUCGGUGGAAGAUGACGGUGCGGACUAUCGGCUUGUUGGUGAGGGAAUGGACCACCAAGGCGACGACGGGUAGCCGGCGUGAGAGGGCGAGCAGCGACACUGGGACGGAGACACGGACCAGAGGCGUACGGGGGGCAGCAGUGGGGAGUAUUGGGCAAUGGAGGAAACUCUGACCCAGCGACGCCGCGUGAGGGAUGAAGGCCUUCGGGUUGUAAACCUCUUUCAGCAAAGACGAAGCGCAAGUGACGGUAUGUGCAGAAGAAGGACCAGCCAACUACGUGCCAGCAGCCGCGGUAA
rnacentral:rRNA from 1 species